GCACCUUCACAUUCUCUUCAUACAGUGCACUCUCUUCUCUCUCCCUCUCUCUCUCUCUCGGAAGAGAAAAGGAAACUUCCCAAGAUGAAAGAAACACACAAGUUUCUACGAGGUAACCUUGAAGCCGUUGGCUUGCAUGGGGCCAUGAAGAACACCACCACUGUACUCAACCCUCCAAGAAUUGGAAUCCAAUGCCAAAAAGUAGUACUCCUUGUAGCAGGAAUCUUCGAGACUUCCAUUGCGACGGUUGCUGCUUGUUCAUGUUAAUUGGGUGCUAUCCUACCUGAGCUUUUUCUUCUACCCACUUCUUCAUCCGAUCUAUUUUUUUUUUUUUUUUUUUUUUUCUGUCUUCUUGACCUUGUAAGACCUUUUCUUGAUCUUGUAAGACCUCGUACCGUGUCUGCUGUCUUUGUUUUCCAAUUUCCUACCAUCUCUGUAUCGAAAUUCACUGAUGCAGAGUUUUGUCGUUGUACUUUCCCGUUUCCACCCAACUCAUCUUCUCCUUCCUUGUCUAUCCCUCCUGAGCUGUUUGAAAUUAGCUUGUCAUGCGUAUAUGUGUAUCUCUCCUCAGAAAGUGUCCCAUAGAAGACUUGAUCAGAUCAGCCUCUAGCUUAUAAGAGCUCAUGCAAGCAAUGGAGACCUCGAUUACAAUAUGGGUUUCUCUUUUCACAUGUAAAUUUAGAAGGGAUUGAAGAAAUUAAAUGGUAACAGUGAUCCAUGAGGUUGAGUUGUAAAAGAAGCUAGAAUAUUAAUAAAAAUAUUCCCACCUUGUUUUUA